GGUUUAAUUCGAAGCAACGCGAAGUAACCUUACCAGGUCUUGACAUCCCGAUGCUAUUUCUAGAGAUAGAAAGUUACUUCGGUACAUCGGUGACAGGUGGUGCAUGGUUGUCGUCAGCUCGUGUCGUGAGAUGUUGGGUUAAGUCCCGCAACGAGCGCAACCCCUAUUGUUAGUUGCCAUCAUUCAGUUGGGCACUCUAGCGAGACUGCCGGUAAUAAACCGGAGGAAGGUGGGAUGACGUCAAAUCAUCAUGCCCCUUAUGACCUGGGCUACACACGUGCUACAAUGGUUGGUACAACGAGUUGCGAGUCGGUGACGGCGAGCUAAUCUCUUAAAGCCAAUCUCAGUUCGGAUUGUAGGCUGCAACUCGCCUACAUGAAGUCGGAAUCGCUAGUAAUCGCGGAUCAGCACGCCGCGGUGAAUACGUUCCCGGGCCUU
rnacentral:rRNA from 1 species